rnacentral:rRNA from 1 species
GAGUUUGAUCAUGGCUCAGGACGAACGCUGGCGGCGUGCUUAACACAUGCAAGUCGGACGAUGAAGCCUAGCUUGCUAGGUGGAUUAGUGGCGAACGGGUGAGUAAUACGUGAGUGACCUACCUUUGACUCUGGGAUAAGCCUGGGAAACUGGGUCUAAUACCGGAUACGACCAAUCUCCGCAUGGGGUGUUGGUGGAAAGCGUUAUGGAGUGGUUUUAGAUGGGCUCACGGCCUAUCAGCUUGUUGGUGAGGUAAUGGCCUACCAAGGCGACGACGGGUAGCCGGCCUGAGAGGGUGACCGGCCACACUGGGACUGAGACACGGCCCAGACUCCUACGGGAGGCAGCAGUGGGGAAUAUUGCACAAUGGGCGCAAGCCUGAUGCAGCGACGCCGCGUGAGGGAUGACGGCCUUCGGGUUGUAAACCUCUGUUAGCAUCGAAGAAGCGAAAGUGACGGUAGGUGCAGAGAAAGCGCCGGCUAACUACGUGCCAGCAGCCGCGGUAAUACGUAGGGCGCGAGCGUUGUCCGGAAUUAUUGGGCGUAAAGAGCUUGUAGGCGGUUGGUCGCGUCUGCUGUGAAAGGCUGGGGCUUAACCCUGGUUUUGCAGUGGGUACGGGCUAACUAGAGUGCAGUAGGGGAGACUGGAAUUCCUGGUGUAGCGGUGGAAUGCGCAGAUAUCAGGAGGAACACCGAUGGCGAAGGCAGGUCUCUGGGCUGUAACUGACGCUGAGAAGCGAAAGCAUGGGGAGCGAACAGGAUUAGAUACCCUGGUAGUCCAUGCCGUAAACGUUGGGCACUAGGUGUGGGGACAUUCCACGUUUUCCGCGCCGUAGCUAACGCAUUAAGUGCCCCGCCUGGGGAGUACGGCCGCAAGGCUAAAACUCAAAGAAAUUGACGGGGGCCCGCACAAGCGGCGGAGCAUGCGGAUUAAUUCGAUGCAACGCGAAGAACCUUACCAAGGCUUGACAUAUACUGGACUGCGUCAGAGAUGGCGUUUCCCUUCGGGGCUGGUAUACAGGUGGUGCAUGGUUGUCGUCAGCUCGUGUCGUGAGAUGUUGGGUUAAGUCCCGCAACGAGCGCAACCCUCGUUCUAUGUUGCCAGCACGUGAUGGUGGGGACUCAUAGGAGACUGCCGGGGUCAACUCGGAGGAAGGUGGGGAUGACGUCAAAUCAUCAUGCCCCUUAUGUCUUGGGCUUCACGCAUGCUACAAUGGCCGGUACAGAGGGUUGCGAUACUGUGAGGUGGAGCUAAUCCCUAAAAGCCGGUCUCAGUUCGGAUUGGGGUCUGCAACUCGACCCCAUGAAGUCGGAGUCGCUAGUAAUCGCAGAUCAGCAACGCUGCGGUGAAUACGUUCCCGGGCCUUGCACACACCGCCCGUC